AGAAAGAAAGAAAGAAAGAAAGAAAAGAUGGAACUCCUACUUUUUGCGACAUCAUGGAUGGAACUGGAGAAUAUUAUAAUACAAGUGUGCAAUCUCUACCAAAAGCAAGAAUAUCUUGCUUGGUAUCUGGAUCUUCUGGAUGAACCUCCACAUAAUCUUCAUCUUCUAAAUCACUUUCAUUUUCACAUUUGGCUCUCUUAUUCUCAUCAUCAGACUGAGUACCAUUUGCUAAAGUUCUUCAACAUCUCUUGGAUGACUGAAUGAUGUAUUUUCCCAGCCAUUUUCAGCAGUAAGUGAAAAAAAAAAAGAUAA